rnacentral:rRNA from 1 species
GACUACAGGGGUAUCUAAGCCUGUUCGCUCCCCACGCUUUCGUGCAUCAGCGUCAGUAAUGGCCCAGUAAGCUGCCUUCGCAAUCGGUGUUCUGUGUAAUAUCUAAGCAUUUCACCGCUACAUUACACAUUCCGCCUACCUUGACCGUACUCAAGACUAACAGUAUCAAUGGCAGUUCUCCAGUUAAGCUGAAGGUUUUCACCACUGACUUAUUAAUCCGCCUACGCACCCUUUAAACCCAAUAAAUCCGGAUAACGCUCGCAUCCUCCGUAUUACCGCGGCUGCUGGCACGGAGUUAGCCGAUGCUUAUUCCCAAAGUACCUUCAGUUCUGUACUCGUACAAAAUUUUAUUCCUCUGGAAAAGAAGUUUACGACGCAUAGCGCCUUCUUCCUUCACGCGGGAUGGCUGGUUCAGGCUUACGCCCAUUGACCAAUAUUCCUCACUGCAGCCCCCCGUAGG